GUCCAGACUCCUACGGGAGGCAGCAGUGGGGAAUAUUGCACAAUGGGGGAAACCCUGAUGCAGCAACGCCGCGUGGGUGAAGGAGCGUUUCGGCGCGUAAAGCCCUGUCAGCGGGGAAGAAGAAAGACGGUACCCGACCAAGAAGCCCCGGCUAACUACGUGCCAGCAGCCGCGGUAAUACGUAGGGAGCAAGCGUUGUCCGGAUUUACUGGGUGUAAAGGGUGCGUAGGCGGCCUUGCAAGUCAGAAGUGAAAUCCAUGGGCUUAACCCGUGAACUGCUUUUGAAACUGUAGGGCUUGAGUGAAGUAGAGGCAGGCGGAAUUCCCGGUGUAGCGGUGAAAUGCGUAGAGAUCGGGAGGAACACCAGUGGCGAAGGCGGCCUGCUGGGCUUUAACUGACGCUGAAGCACGAAAGCGUGGGUAGCAAACAGGAUUAGAUACCCCUGUACA
rnacentral:rRNA from 1 species